UACGGAAGGUCCGGGCGUUAUCCGGAUUUAUUGGGUUUAAAGGGUGCGUAGGCGGCGCUUCAGGUCAGCGGUGAAAUGCCCCCGCUCAACGGGGUGAAGUGCCAUUGAUACUGCCUUGCUGGAAUGCGGAUGCCGUGGGAGGAAUGUGUGGUGUAGCGGUGAAAUGCAUAGAUAUCACACAGAACACCGAUUGCGAAGGCAUCUCACGAAUCCGCUAUUGACGCUGAUGCACGAAAGCGUGGGUAUCAAACAGG
rnacentral:rRNA from 1 species